rnacentral:pre_miRNA from 1 species
AGAGGGAUAGCUGGGUCAAAUGAUGGUUCCAUUCCCAAAUUUCCAAGGAAUCUCCAUACUGCUUUCUAUAUUGGCUGCACCAAUUUGCAGUCCCACCAGCAAU